rnacentral:lncRNA from 1 species
CGAACCCACUGAACCGGUCCAUCUCUUCUUUCUAUUAUUUUUUCUUGAACUGAACCGGCUUGUUUUGUUAUAUACUUUGUGUUGAAUCUAGUUCUUCACUGAACCAGCCCACCUCUUCUUUCUAUUCUUUUUUUGAAUCAAACUGAUCUACUUUGUUAUAUACUCUUUUUGAACCCAAAUUUUCUCUCUUUAUUUGAACCGAACCCGCCCAGUUCUUACCUUUUUUUUUUUUUAUUUCUUUAUUUGAAGCAAAUGGGCUUACUUGAAUCCGGUUCUUCUCUUUACCCUAAGUCCUAAACCGUUCUUCGACCAAUUUCUUCAUUUUCUAUUUCCUACUCGCCGUUUCCACUGCUGUAUUAAAGAUCCUUCCACAAUUGUCCAUUCACUUUCAUCUCCAUUCUUAUUCUUAUAUAAUAACAUCUGCAUUCUCUUUUGUUCCAACACUUUUUGCGAUAAUUUUUUUUCGACGGUAAAAUAUGCUUACUUGCUACUCUGUUUUAUUAUAUUCCGUACCAUAUACAUUUUAAAAUUUUAAUUUAUUAUUAUUAUUUUUUAUCUCAGAAAAAUUUUAAAAUUUUGCUCCUAUUAUCUAUCCGCCAAAUUGCGCGGAUCUCUACACUAGUUAAUCUAAUUGUAAUUCUUGUUUAGUUAGCCUCAAU